rnacentral:rRNA from 1 species
UACGGGGGGGGCAAGCGUUGUUCGGAAUUACUGGGCGUAAAGGGCUCGUAGGCGGCCAACUAAGUCAGACGUGAAAUCCCUCGGCUUAACCGGGGAACUGCGUCUGAUACUGGAUGGCUUGAGUUUGGGAGAGGGAUGCGGAAUUCCAGGUGUAGCGGUGAAAUGCGUAGAUAUCUGGAGGAACACCGGUGGCGAAGGCGGCAUCCUGGACCAACACUGACGCUGAUGAGCGAAAGCUAGGGGAGCAAACGGG